rnacentral:rRNA from 1 species
CAGUAGCCGCGGUAAUACGUAGGGAGCAAGCGUUGUUCGGAUUUACUGGCGUAAAGGGCGCGUAGGCGGCGCGGUAAGUCACUUGUGAAAUCUCUGAGCUUAACUCAGAACGGCCAAGUGAUACUGCUGUGCUAGAGUGCGGAAGAGGCAACCGGAAUUCUUGGUGUAGCGGUGAAAUGCGUAGAUAUCAAGAGGAACACCUGAGGCGAAGGCGGGUUGCUGGGCCGACACUGACGCUGAUGCGCGAAAGCCAGGGGAGCAAACGGGAUUAGAUACCCCUGUAGUCCCUGUCUCUUAUACA